AUGGAGGCAGCUCCAGAGGGCAUCCAUGCAGAGGCCAUCAUCCACUCAUGGUAUCCGUUGCCUACCAUCAUGGGGCGGCUCAUGCGUCCCAGAGACUUGGUGGCGCUCCGGUUGGAUGUGGAGGCACCGAUCUGGUCCUCCCUGCUUGGGGAUGACGCUCGUGUAUUGGCUACUAUAAUGAGAUCAAUGGAGCUAAUGGAGCUGCAAUGGCGCUCCAGCACACCAUCCCCGCAUCGUGACAUGAACGACCUCACCCGGAGGAUUGGGCCCUCGUUGGGUCACAACGUUGUAGUGGCUGAGCUCGCCGCUUACACCGAGGGGAAAACGAAGAGUGUGCCCAAGGUGUAGGGAUUAGUUA
rnacentral:lncRNA from 1 species